GUUGUAUAGUCAAGUAAUUAAGUGCAUGUGGUGGAUGCCUUGGCAGUCAGAGGCGAUGAAAGACGUGAUAGCCUGCGAAAAGCUCCGGGGAGGCGGCAAAUAUCCUUUGAUCCGGAGAUGUCUGAAUGGGGGAACCCACCUACUUUAAGGUAGGUAUUGCAACAUGAAUACAUAGUGUUGCAAGGCGAACGAGGGGAAGUGAAACAUCUCAGUACCCUUAGGAAAAGAAAUCAAUUGAGAUUCCCUCAGUAGCGGCGAGCGAACGGGGAUCAGCCCAUUAAGUUAUGUGUGUUUUAGUGGAACGCUCUGGGAAGUGCGAACGUAGAGGGUGAUAUUCCCGUACACGAAAGGGCACACAUAAUGAUGACGAGUAGGGCGAGGCACGUGAAACCUUGUCUGAAUAUGGGGGGACCAUCCUCCAAGGCUAAAUACUCCUGACUGACCGAUAGUGAACCAGUACCGUGCGGGAAAGGCGAAAAGAACCCCUGUGAGGGGAGUGAAAUAGAUCCUGGAACCGCAUGCAUACAAGCAGUGGGAGCACCUUCGUGGUGUGACUGCGUACCUUUUGUAUAAUGGGUCAGCGACUUAUAUUCAGUAGCGAGGUUAACCGUAUAGGGGAGCCGUAGAGAAAUCGAGUCUUAAUAGGGCGUUUAGUUGCUGGGUAUAGACCCGAAACCAGGCGAUCUAUCCAUGAGCAGGUUGAAGGUUGGGUAACACUAACUGGAGGACAGAACCCACUGUCGUUGAAAAGCCAGGGGAUGACUUGUGGAUAGGGGUGAAAGGCUAAUCAAGCCUGGUGAUAGCUGGUUC
rnacentral:rRNA from 1 species